rnacentral:lncRNA from 1 species
AAGAGGUAUAGAAGGAACAUCCAUGCCUUCAUGUUGCCUUUAAAGCUCAUUGCUUAUAGAGGGAAGCAUGACGCACUUGACAGUUAUACUGUCAUCUUGCCACAUCUUGUAUGUGGCUCUUUUCUCCUCAGUUGCAUCUUCACCGAUCGAAUCGAGUGUAGGGGUAUCCAAAAUAUAGGAGUUUCUUCUAUGUGAAUAUAAUUCUUAGGUUUCUCAAUCAAUCCACAUAAUUGGAUCCGAUCAACUUGUUGGCAUCAAGUAUGCCACGCAGUGAAAGUGAGAAUGCCAUUACAUAGUUUAAUCUACA